CCCUACGGGGGGCAGCAGUGGGGAAUAUUGGGCAAUGGGCGAAAGCCUGACCCAGCAAUGCCGCGUGAAUGAAGAAGGUCUUAGGAUUGUAAAAUUCUGUCCUAUGGGAAGAAACAAAUGACGGUACCAUAGGAGGAAGCCCCGGCUAACUACGUGCCAGCAGCCGCGGUAAUACGGAGGAUGCGAGCGUUAUCCGGAUUUAUUGGGUUUAAAGGGUGCGCAGGCGGCCUGUUAAGUCAGCGGUAAAAGCCCGGGGCUCAACCCCGGCGAGCCGUUGAAACUGGCGGGCUGGAGUUGGAG
rnacentral:rRNA from 1 species